rnacentral:rRNA from 1 species
GGGCGACUAAACCCAAAGGCGCAAUGAAAGUGAAGGUUCCCUUCGGAACUCUAGGGAGGAUCCGUUUUAGGACGGACGAGGGGGUCAAACUCCUUGUCCGCCCCGGCGCACUCCCGGGGCGUCCCGACCGCUAUUUGCCGGUGGGGCGCACCUAGAGCGUACACGUUGGGACCCGAAAGAUGGUGAACUAUGCCUGGCCAGGACGAAGCCAGAGGAAACUCUGGUGGAGGUCCGUAGCGAUUCUGACGUGCAAAUCGAUCGUCGGAGCUGGGUAUAGGGGCGAAAGACUAAUCGAACCAUCUAGUAGCUGGUUCCCUCCGAAGUUUCCCUCAGGAUAGCUGGUGCUCGGAGAGUUGGACGACUUUAUCAGUCUCAUCCGGUAAAGCGAAUGAUUAGAGGCCUUGGGGCCGAAAUGACCUCAACCUAUUCUCAAACUUUAAAUGGGUGAGAAGUCGGGCUUGCUUGACACAACCCUCACGGGUUUGAAGCUUGACACAGGAUGUAAGAGCACCCAGUGGGCCACUUUUGGUAAGCAGAACUGGCGCUGUGGGAUGAACCAAACGCCGGGUUACGGCGCCCGAUACGACGCUCAUUAGACCCCAUGAAAGGUGUUGGUUGCUUUAGACAGCAGGACGGUGGCCAUGGAAGUCGGAAUCCGCUAAGGAGUGUGUACUAACUCACCUGCAGAAAAACCCCCC